GCCUUUGGCUUCCAGCACCCAGCUGGGUCACCUUGGGCAAGAGCGUGGUUACCACUGGUACAUAUAUGGGCCAUGAAAGAAGCCAGCUCUAGAAGGCGAGCCAGGCCAACAAGGAACCAUCUUCUGGAUAAUCUCGUUUGCCUUCAUUUACUGCAAGUUAACUGUUCUCCUAACAUAAUCCCCAUAGCUGCUCUAAUGGACCUCAAGAGAGCUCAAGUUGUUCUUAGGCCACAGGAUGGAUAACAAUGAUCAGAACUUCUCCCUGAGAACUUUAAUUUUCAAGAUAAAGUGUACAUACAGGUAUAUAAUUGGAGAGGAAUCAACACGCAUGUGCAUGUGAAUUAUUUCUGCAAGCAGCCUACAGCAAAUUACAUGAACCAUACAUUGGUCACCUUUAAAAAUAAGAUUGUUUCUUAGCUUUGUCAGUCUUUUUGCAUCACCGCUUAUGCAUUGAGAACUUGGCCCAAGUGAAAAACAGAGUGGCUAACUAUGAGACAGAUGAUUAUAGGCAAACUCAUGGGUAUCUGUUGUUUUUAUUCUACUUCAAGGCCAACUGAGUUCUCUGUAAAAAUCAACAGUGUGCACAAAGCAAUGAAUAUACCUAACACACCUUCAAACA
rnacentral:lncRNA from 1 species